UUUGAAUCCUGGCUCAGGACGAACGCUGGCGGCGUGCCUAAUACAUGCAAGUCGAGCGGAUCUUCAUUAGCUUGCUUUUGAAGAUCAGCGGCGGACGGGUGAGUAACACGUGGGCAACCUGCCUGUAAGACUGGGAUAACUUCGGGAAACCGGAGCUAAUACCGGAUAAUCCUUUCCCUCACAUGAGGGAAAGCUGAAAGACGGUUUCGGCUGUCACUUACAGAUGGGCCCGCGGCGCAUUAGCUAGUUGGUGAGGUAACGGCUCACCAAGGCAACGAUGCGUAGCCGACCUGAGAGGGUGAUCGGCCACACUGGGACUGAGACACGGCCCAGACUCCUACGGGAGGCAGCAGUAGGGAAUCUUCCGCAAUGGACGAAAGUCUGACGGAGCAACGCCGCGUGAACGAUGAAGGCUUUCGGGUCGUAAAGUUCUGUUGUCAGGGAAGAACAAGUACCGGAGUAACUGCCGGUACCUUGACGGUACCUGACCAGAAAGCCACGGCUAACUACGUGCCAGCAGCCGCGGUAAUACGUAGGUGGCAAGCGUUGUCCGGAAUUAUUGGGCGUAAAGCGCGCGCAGGCGGUUCCUUAAGUCUGAUGUGAAAGCCCCCGGCUCAACCGGGGAGGGUCAUUGGAAACUGGGGAACUUGAGUGCAGAAGAGGAGAGCGGAAUUCCACGUGUAGCGGUGAAAUGCGUAGAGAUGUGGAGGAACACCAGUGGCGAAGGCGGCUCUCUGGUCUGUAACUGACGCUGAGGCGCGAAAGCGUGGGGAGCGAACAGGAUUAGAUACCCUGGUAGUCCACGCCGUAAACGAUGAGUGCUAAGUGUUAGAGGGUUUCCGCCCUUUAGUGCUGCAGCAAACGCAUUAAGCACUCCGCCUGGGGAGUACGGCCGCAAGGCUGAAACUCAAAGGAAUUGACGGGGGCCCGCACAAGCGGUGGAGCAUGUGGUUUAAUUCGAAGCAACGCGAAGAACCUUACCAGGUCUUGACAUCCUCUGACAACCCUAGAGAUAGGGCGUUCCCCUUCGGGGGACAGAGUGACAGGUGGUGCAUGGUGUCGUCAGC
rnacentral:rRNA from 1 species